GAUGAACGCUAGCGGCAGGCCUAAUACAUGCAAGUCGAACGGGAUCUGAGGGUAGCUUGCUACCCGAUUUGAGAGUGGCGCACGGGUGCGUAACGCGUGAGCAGCCUACCCAUAUCAGGGGGAUAGCCCGAAGAAAUUCGGAUUAACACCGCAUAAUAAUACGCUAACACAUGUUGAUGUAUUUAAAUAUUUAUAGGAUAUGGAUGGGCUCGCGUGAAAUUAGCUAGUUGGUAAGGUAACGGCUUACCAAGGCGACGAUGUCUAGGGGCUCUGAGAGGAGAAUCCCCCACACUGGUACUGAGACACGGACCAGACUCCUACGGGAGGCAGCAGUAAGGAAUAUUGGUCAAUGGGCGCAAGCCUGAACCAGCCAUGCCGCGUGCAGGAUGACUGCCCUAUGGGUUGUAAACUGCUUUUGUUAGGGAAUAAACCUUCUUACGUGUAAGGAGCUGAAUGUACCUAAAGAAUAAGGAUCGGCUAACUCCGUGCCAGCAGCCGCCGUAA
rnacentral:rRNA from 1 species